AGAGUUUGAUCCUGGCUCAGAUUGAACGCUGGCGGCGUGCUUAACACAUGCAAGUCGUGCGAGAAAGGGGACUUCGGUCCCUGAGUAGAGCGGCGCACGGGUGAGUAACGCGUGGAUAAUCUCCCCAGAAGUUCGGGAUAACGGCGGGAAACUGCCGCUAAUACCGGAUACGCUCCAAUUUCGGUUGGGGGAAAGGCGGCCUCUGUUUACAAGCUGUCGCUUCUGGAUGAGUCCGCGUCCCAUUAGCUUGUUGGUGGGGUAAUGGCCUACCAAGGCUACGAUGGGUAGCUGGUCUGAGAGGAUGAUCAGCCACACUGGAACUGAAACACGGUCCAGACUCCUACGGGAGGCAGCAGUGGGGAAUAUUGCGCAAUGGGGGAAACCCUGACGCAGCGACGCCGGGUGAGGGAUGAAGGCUUUCGGGUCGUAAACCUCUGUCGGGAGGGAAGAACCUUCCAGGCC
rnacentral:rRNA from 1 species